rnacentral:rRNA from 1 species
CUACGGAGGGGGCUAGCGUUGUUCGGAAUUACUGGGCGUAAAGCGCGCGUAGGCGGAUUGAUCAGUCAGGGGUGAAAUCCCGGAGCUUAACUCCGGAACUGCCUUCGAUACUGUCAAUCUUGAGUUCGAGAGAGGUGAGUGGAAUUCCUAGUGUAGAGGUGAAAUUCGUAGAUAUUAGGAAGAACACCAGUGGCGAAGGCGGCUCACUGGCUCGAUACUGACGCUGAGGUGCGAAAGCGUGGGGAGCAAACAGGAUUAGAAACCCUAGUAGUCC